AUGAGGGAGGCUGCACAGUAUGGACCUUGGUCAGAUCUUCCACCCGAACUCCUGGGCCUUGUCUUCAAGUGCCUCCCUUCCCUAGCUGACCGUGUUCGUCUGAGGGCAGUCUGUCACCCAUAGCGCUGUAACAGUCUGCUGCAACCGCUUCCUCUUCCAUUCCCAUGGAUCACCCUCCCUGAUAGAACCUUCCUCCGCAUCCCAGGAGGCGAGGUUCACCGCAUGCAUGUACCAGAUGGUGCUAGUUGCGGUGGCUCCAUCUUAUUUCUCAUGAGCAGUGAUGAUGCAUGUAGAUUGAUGAACCCUUUCUCCAAGACCACGUUGGAGCUUCCUAAUCUGGUCACAGUUUGACAGCGUGAGGGACGCUACGAAUCUGAUCCUAAACAACUUCGGUACAAGUUGGCGGCGCAGUCGCCCCUCCACUUAUCACCUGAUUCCCUCGUUGCGGCAUUGAUCAUGGAUGGUGGUAAUACUGUUACACUUUGCAUUAGCCAGCCAUCGGCUGCCACUUACCAGUUACUAGGCAAUUGGCAGCCAUUACACCACCCAUUUGAUGUUGCAUUUGUUGAUGGGAAGUUGUAUGUGGUGUGUGUCUCUGACAAGCUCUUCAUCGUAGAGUUUUGCAAGAACCUUGUUGAAUGUGGUGGUAGGCUCUUGAUGGUUCACCGAUUUAUUCAUUUACUGGGCCCAGGCCCUCCAACUGGUGACAGUAUCUAUGAAAAAACUCUGACUGCUGGGUUUGUUGUCCACGAGGCGGACUUGCACUCUGAGCCUUGCUAAUGGAGAAAGAUCAGUGAGUUAGGUGGACAUGCUCUCUUUGUUGGCGAGCAUGGCUCCAUGUCUUUGCCCGCUAGAGAAUGCAGCGGAUGCCAAGAGGACUGCAUCUACUUCAUUUUUGACUAUCACCCUCUAAGCAUUUCUCCGAAUCCAUUCAGCGACUGUGGUGUGUACAACAUGAGAAAUGGGAGGAUCACGUCAUUGAUGUCUCAGACUGCAGCACAUGCACAUCGUGCCGGCAAGUGGUGUCCGACGUGGGUUUUCCAUGCUGGAGCUCUGUGA
rnacentral:rRNA from 1 species